AACGCGAAGAACCUUACCUACCCUUGACAUCUAAUGAAUUCUGCAGAGAUGCGGAAGUGCCGAAAGGAGCAUUAAGACAGGUGCUGCAUGGCUGUCGUCAGCUCGUGUUGUGAGAUGUUGGGUUAAGUCCCGUAACGAGCGCAACCCUUAUCCUUAGUUGCCAGCAUUAAGUUGGGGACUCUAAGGAGACUGCCGGUGAUGAACCGGAGGAAGGCGGGGACGACGUCAAGUCAUCAUGGCCUUUAUGGGUAGGGCUACACACGUGCUACAAUGGUCGGUACAGAGGGCAGCAAGCGUGCGAGCGCAAGCGAAUCCCUUAAAGCCGAUCGUAGUCCGGAUCGGAGUCUGCAACUCGACUCCGUGAAGUCGGAAUCGCUAGUAAUCGCGAAUCAGAAUGUCGCGGUGAAUACGUUCCCGGGCCUUGUA
rnacentral:rRNA from 1 species